GUAAAACCCAAUGGAUCACACACAUAUAAAAAUUUGUCAAGGACCCUUUUGAAAAAGGUUGAUUAGAAUUUUGGAUUCAAUCAGGAUUCCAGUAAGCAUGCUAGUAUGUGUGAAAAUCCUAGCUCCUUUGAAAAUCAAUUUAGUCUCAUUUCUUACUAAUUAGCUAGUCUAAUUUGGUGGGUAUUUGAGUCAAGUCAUGCACC
rnacentral:lncRNA from 1 species